rnacentral:lncRNA from 1 species
CCCCCAUGCUGUUCUCAUGAUAGUGAGUGAGUGCUCACGAGAUCUGAUGGUUUUAUAAGUGUUUGGAAGUUCCUCCUUCAUUCUUCUUUCUCCUGCUGCCUUGUAAAGAAGUUGCUUGCUUCCCCUUCAGCUUCUGCCAUGAUUGUAAGUUUCCGGAGACCUCUGCAGCCAUGUGGAACUAUGUUCUGGAAGAGGAUGUCUGUAAUCCUGCCCCUGUGAGGCACUGAUGGUGAUGUGCUACACUCUGUCCCACAUCAGCCUUUUUCAACCCUAGUUGUAUUGUGUUGUGACGGGAGCACAGCUGGUCCUGAAAAGGCACAACACUCAGACAAGCAUGUGAGAUUGCAUUCGUCCCUGCUGGGGAGCCCCGAGCUUUAGAGCAUCUGCCCCAUUAGACGAUCAGGGCAAUGCGUGGAAGAAGGCUAGUGCCUUGCUGCCUGGGUGUGGUCUGUGACAUCAUCUGGGAUCUUGUAAGAAAUAUAGAACCUCAGGCCCUGCCAAAGGCUUUUUGAAUCAAACUCUGCAUUUUAGCAAGCUCUUCUGGUGAGUUGUGCACACAUCAGGAGUAUAGUCGGCAUCUGCUAUUUUUGUCGGCCCUGCAUUUCUUACUCUGGUAACUGCGUCUCCUACUCCUUCUUGAAAGAACUACUCCCUUCUCCCUACAUUCCUGUGAUUCUGAUGGGGUGGCCAAUUACAGGGCCUUAACUUUUUGGCCAUAGAGGUGGGCACAUAAUUCAGGUCUGAACAUUCAGGCUACAAUGAUUAGUUCAGGGUAGCGACAGGGGACCCAAG